GAUGAACGCUGGCGGCGUGCCUAAUACAUGCAAGUCGAGCGAACAGACGAGGCGCUUGCUCCUCGGACGUUAGCGGCGGACGGGUGAAAAACACGUGGAUAACCUACCUAUAAGACUGGGAUAACUUCGGGAAACCGGCGCUAAUACCGUAUAAUAUCUUGAACCGCGUGGUUCGAUAGUAAGAUACGGUGGUGCGGGCACUUAUAGAUGGAUCCGCGCCGCAUUAGCGAGUUGGUAAGGUAACGGCUUACCAAGGCAACGAUGCGUAGCCGACCUCCGGGGGGGAUAGGCCACACGGGAACUGAGACACCGUCCAGGCUCCUACGGGAGGGAGCAGUAGCGAACCGGACGCAGUGGGCGAAAGCAUGGCGGAGUAGCGCCGCGCGAGAGAUGAAGGCCUUCCGAUCGUAAAACUGUGUUAUGAGUGAUGAACCAAUGUGUAAGGAACUAUGCACGGAGUGACGGUAACUAAUAAGAAAGCCACGGCUAACUACGUG
rnacentral:rRNA from 1 species